UACGAAGGGGGCUAGCGUUGUUCGGAAUCACUGGGCGUAAAGGGCGCGUAGGCGGCUUGAUAAGUCGGGGGUGAAAGCCUGUGGCUCAACCACAGAAUUGCCUUCGAUACUGUCGAGCUUGAGACCGGAAGAGGUAAGUGGAACUGCGAGUGUAGAGGUGAAAUUCGUAGAUAUUGGGUGGAACACCGGUGGCGAAAGCGGCUCUCUGAUCCGGACCUGGACG
rnacentral:rRNA from 1 species